rnacentral:lncRNA from 1 species
ACAGCCCAGAGACCAUGCUGUUGAAUUCCGCGCCAUCCGGGCCGUACGCCAGGUUCAGGAGCACCGUGUUCUUGAUGGCCACGCUUGCCAGCGCGCUGAACGAGUCGAUGGCCCCGUACGUGUCGAACAGCGCGUAGGCGGAGGGCCAGGUGGUGAUGACGGUGGGGUAGCGCACCGGCACGCCGGCGGAGGGCCAGGUGGUGGCGUUGGCCAUGGUGAUGUUCUCCACCAGGAUGAUGUACUGCCCGUACUGCUUCGCCGAGGCCGGCGACGACUCGGUCAUGGCGGUGAACAGGUCGUCGCUGUCACGGACCUGGAACACCACGGUCGGCGGCACCUGCGCG